UACGUAGGCAGCGAGCGUUGUUCGGAAUUACUGGGCGUAAAGAGUGUGUAGGCGGUGCUCUAAGUUCGGUGUGAAAUCUCCCGGCUUAACUGGGAGGGUGCGCCGGAAACUGGAAUGCUCGAACGUGGGAGAGGAAAGCGGAAUUCCUGGUGUAGCGGUGAAAUGCGUAGAGACCCGGAGGAACACCAGUGGCGAAGGCGGCGUCCUGGCCUGCGACUGACGCUGUGGCGCGAAAGCUAGGGGAGCGAACGGG
rnacentral:rRNA from 1 species